GUAUCCCUACGUGGUAUCAGAGCCGUAGCUAUUUUGUUAUGGAUUUGGGAUGUGUGCAUAUGGCGAUAUGCGAGUUUUCAGAUUGAUCUAUGGUCUUUUUUCGUGUUCUUGCUGCAAUGGUCGUGUAACGACAUACUCCUACCGGUCGGAUUUCCGCCAUCAGUGUUAUGUGAUACACGUAAUGCUAGUUGCAGUGAGCGAAGAUCAAUGUGAUUGGUUGAAUCGAAAUCUAGAUUCAUACGCUAGGCACAUGAGAUAUGCAAUAGUAGAUUUGAUCUACUACCGGGUCGGAAUUUUGCCAUAUGCGUGUGCUUCAGUAAAACAGCAGU
rnacentral:lncRNA from 1 species